UACGGGGGGGGCAAGCGUUGUUCGGAAUUACUGGGCGUAAAGGGCUCGUAGGUGGCCAACUAAGUCAGACGUGAAAUCCCUCGGCUUAACCGGGGAACUGCGUCUGAUACUGGAUGGCUUGAGUUCGGGAGAGGGAUGCGGAAUUCCAGGUGUAGCGGUGAAAUGCGUAGAUAUUGGGAAGAACACCGAUGGCGAAGGCAGCCAUCUGGACCGACACUGACGCUGAGGCGCGAAAGCGUGGGGAGCAAACAGG
rnacentral:rRNA from 1 species